rnacentral:rRNA from 1 species
UACGUAGGGGGCAAGCGUUGUCCGGAAUCAUUGGGCGUAAAGCGCGUGUAGGCGGCUCGAUCAGUCCGUUCUGAAAGUCCAGGGCUCAACCCUGGGAUGCGGAUGGAUACUGUCGAGCUCGAGUCCGGAAGAGGCGAGUGGAAUUCCUGGUGUAGCGGUGAAAUGCGCAGAUAUCAGGAAGAACACCAACGGCGAAGGCAGCUCGCUGGGACGGUACUGACGCUGAGACGCGAAAGCGUGGGGAGCGAACGGG